UCGGAUGUGGUGUAGGGAGCACCGCCAGACUCGCUUGAUAUUGGAUGCGAUCGCGUUUCUGGCAGUCCGGGGUUCGAUUCCCCGCGUCCGAG